AAGACUACAUGAAACUUUUAUUUUUUUAAUAAGCCCUUCAAAGAAGCUGUCCUAUGGGAAAUACGCACUGAUGGGUGACUACUACAGUACAGAGGGGGAUGUGCAUUUGGAAUGUCCCAGUUAAGUGCAGAGCACUUCCUUGAAGUUUGCAAGAUUAUUCAUGGCUUUGUUUCAUGCAGGAGAGUACUUUGGAUCGUAAGUAGAUGUCCUCAACAACUAGAAAGCAUUUUUUUAAAGCUGUUUAGAUGUUCACCGUAUUACAUAAGUAAUUCCUUUUUGUAGUGGAUUUAAUUUAUCCAUCUACAGCAUUUGACCCAGAUACCUGCUACAAAAUCAGACAUCUUCAGGCUUUAGCACUUACAACAGCAGUUAAGGUCAAUUAAACCUCUAGUGCACAGUCUCAAGCUCUGCUCUGUAGAAAUGAAGCAAUGCUGUCUUCUGUAAGCAGCUGGGCUGGGGAAUACGGUGGGAGAGGCUUGUUGAACAGUGACCCUAUGCUGAGGAGGAUUCAUUCUGCUCUUCAGUGAGGCAGGGUACAUCUUCCAGCUGCGUGCAGCCAUCGGGCCUCCUACCCAGCAGUACAGUUCACUAGGAUUUUGAGCUCCAUUCUUACAUCGUGUGAAAAGGCCAAUAAUGCAAGCUUGUAGGUAUUGAUCCUUCCCUGCAGAGGCACUGUUCUUCAGCACUAGGUCUCUGGGUCUCUCUAGGUCUCAGCCAACUUAUGCAACCGCUGACUCAGCCGUCACCCUGCCCUUCUGACCCAGACAACUGCCUUGUAACAGGCCUCCACCCAGGGACUGCCUGGUGAGUCAGGCCUUUUCCACAGAUGGAUGCCUAGUCUUGGGAUAAGUGGUAUCUCAGAAAUCUAUGUGAGCCUCUAGGCCUCCAGGUACUACCUGACUGCCAAACAAGCAGGUCAAGGAACAGCUUUAAGGAAUGACCAAAAUUAGCACAGGAAUGCAAUUCAGUGGAGAAGGUGAGACACAAAAUACUUAGAGAAGAUGCACUGCUGACACCUCAAAUCAGGCAAGGCAAGACAGAACAAGUUGAUGAAGAAAUUGACUUGUUUAAACCACAACUCAAACUUCUGUUACCAGAAGUUGCCAACUGCGUGCACCCUGUUAGACUAAUCGUAAUAGACUGACAGAGCAUGUAAGAGCCACAAGCAGAAAUAGUCAGCAGAUACUACAGCAGUAGUACUUAAACAAGGACCAUUUGUAACUGAGUUCCACCCCCUGCCCCCAUGCCCUGUGGCUUGAGUGUAGGCCAUUGUAACAGAGUUUUUUCCCAUACCGGUUUGAGCACUGCCACUGAAUAAGGAGUUAUGCAGACUAAUGUGCUCCAGGGUAGAAAACCUCCAAAACUGAUUUUGGACCUUCUGAUUUUAGCGAGCACGAGAUGAGAACCCAAAAUCUUAUUAAACAAGGUGACUCCUCGGCAGAAGCCACCCAGGUGACCAUUGUUUGAGGGGAGGGGAAAGCUGAGGACACUGAAGUUUAGCUACAAAGGCAGAAGGAGCAAGCAUGAGCUUUAGAUUAAGCUGUACUGCGCAGCUUUACUUUGAAGGAGGACACUCUUCCCCGGAAUACCACCAUCCCCUGGUAUGUAGUGAAUGACUUUCACCUGCUGUCAGUAGCCACAAAAGGACAUUUAAAGCCGCUGUGGCCUCUUAAAGCAGCACAGCUGAAAGUCCACUGGAAAACCAGCGGUUUCAACAGAGGUGGUCUGCACUGACUAAUUCAGUUCCUAUUUCCUCAUAAAACCAACCCAAGUCCCAACUAAAAAAAGCUUUCUGAGCUUCCUGCUUCUUUUUUUUAUUAUUAUUAUUAAAUAAAUAAUAAAAAAAGAAGUAGCAGAGUGCUCCGUAACAUAUGCGGAUCAAAGAGCUACGAAGGGCUCUACCUUUCCAAGGAGCACGAAAGAGAGGCCAAGCAAACAGCAGAGGAACACUGGGGAGAGCACCCUGCAGCUUUAUAUUUAUUUUGUGCCUUUUCAUCCCAGAUUUUCAAAGGUUUGGUCCAGGUUGCUCUUCCUGGGAAGGUUUUCCUCUCAGUCUUACAUGAAAACAUUCAGCUUCCUGUUGAGGAAUGGCCUUGAGGCGCCAGGCCAGUAGUUCACAGCAGACUGAUAGAAGCGGUGUGAUUCAGAGCUACUCCCCAUUAGCAGCCAGGAAUGUCUACUUCACCGAAGGAAAUGAAAUGCUCUUCUGUUGAGAUGGUUCCCUGCCUCCUCCCCCCUUCCCUUACCAGCAAGCUGUCUUUGAAGUCAGGAGGUUAAAAUAACGGCCACGGCCUUGCUCUGGCCCUCAGCUUUCUCCGCCAGUGGCCGGCGCUUCUCACUCCAUCCAAAGGCCGCACCAGCAGCUGCUGCCUCUUUUCCACAACCUCUCCCGAUGCCUGAACAGCCUCCUCUCCAACAGGGAGGCUGCAGAUAGUACUGUAAUCUGCAAGGGGUCAGGCACAGUGAAGGCCCAAAUAUUUUUAUUUCUUAGCAAAUGCUGCAAUACAGAAAAUUACACAGUGGCUAUCCUGAAAACAGCAUCUAGAACCCAGCCUUUUCCCAGCUGCUCAUUACAGCUACAUGCUGGAAAUUGCUUCCACUGCUGAUAAACCAAAUAAUACCUAAAAAAUAGGAAUGACGACGGUGUUGCCUUACAGAUAUAAAACAGGUCAAAUCAGGAUUCUUUUCAAGAAACCACAGGCAUGAGCUGAGGAGACUGAAGACUUCCCACAUCUAAGGCUUCACUGGGGGGCUGUAGCUGAAGUCUGGCCAAGCAAGGCAUGCCCUAGCAAAGCCCAAUCCACAAGUGAAGUCGGCGCAAUCAAAGACUGCAAUUACAGCUCCCUGGCUGCGGUUAGGCUUCAAAGAAAGUGCUGCAAGUCACAUUUUACAUAUGUGAAGCCUUGAGCCUGAGCCACAAUAGGAGGCACUGUCUGUGCCAUUUGCACUGUACAUCUGACUGCAGAAGGAAAGAAAAAAACGGCCUCCUCAAGGAAGAAACAGAAAUAAAAUUCAACAAAAAUUCAGUGUAACAAGAAGAGCCUCACUACUGAAAUGAUACAGCUGCAUUUUGAGAAUUACUACCAUAAAAAUAACAGUGUCCUAACAAGCCUGGGCUCAGCAGCUGAGGGCAAGAGCACCAGAGGGGGUCAGAAUUCCUCCCCACACUUGGGAAUGAGAUGGAUUGAAGGGUGGGUCUGCAAUGGCCCCGAGUUCCCCUUGCUUCUCCCAUGGUUUUUCACUCAUCUCCAUUUGGUAGAACAAGGGAGAGGGGAUUAUGCAGAUUCAUCCAAGUGACGUUAAUCAGCAGAUGUUAUGGAAGAGAGCUGAGCUUCUGGGCCCGGACCGGGAAAGUGCUGAGUGAAAGAGAUAUCUAACCCUUCACAGAAGGCAAGAGAAAAUAAAAGUUUUCAACCAGGCAUUUUUCCUUUCACCUUCCCUCAGCACAGGUUGUUCUCAUGCAGUUGUAAAAAGAUGCAAGACGACAGCAGUUACAUGUACUUAAAAAAAAAAAAAAAAAAAAAAAAAAAAAAAAAAAAAAAGCCGGUCUCCAAACCUGGGUUUUAUGCAGUACUUCAAACAACGUGGCAAGCUCAGGGAUCCGACAACGGAAACUCAUUUUCUUUUGAAGUCCCAAACGAACAUGUUCGACUUGCUGCCAGCAUGGAUCCAGUACUCUCGAAACUUGAGUACACAAAAUGAGGCCAUGAUUUAUCUGAAAAGUUCCCUCUGUUUGUGAAGCCCCCUUGUAGGCUCCUCACAGCAGAGCUGUACAGAGGUUCAGGCGGUGCCGUCUGCUCCUCUUCCUGCCCAGCUGGGCCGUGGUUUGUGGGGUUUGCCUAAACCAGAGCCUUGAAAUGUUCUGGGCAAACAAAAACAAACACUCCACAACCUUUGUUGUUUCUAAACAAAAAAACACCUCCCAGCAAAACCCCAGUUGUUUUAGUAAUCCGAUUUGCUGCAGGGUCCCGCAGGCUGUUGUAGCACAUGGCUGGAGACCUACGGGAGAGAGGAAAAAGCCCUCUGCAAGAGCUGGGUGCCAGCAGGCACCAGAGGCAUUUUUUUUAAGCUGCCUUUGUUGCUGAAGAAAUUAGAAAAAAAUGGUACCUUAAAACUGCAACAGAUACUGCCACGUUGAGGCUAUGUUGUUGGUAAAGUUUUCUGUUUAGUUGUUUGCGGGGGGGAGGAUUCUUCCGCCACUUGCUGCUGUUAGCUUCAGCCCAUCGCUGGGAACUGAGCAGGGGUCCAGCAACAAAAUGCCCACUUGUGUUUCAGAUGCACUGAAGUAGCUCACGAAGAGCUGUAACAGGCCCCGCUCCAGUGGGUCAGAGAGCUCUUCUGAGCAGGCUGGUAUGGCACUGGGGACACCCAGGUAUUCUGCAGCUCCUGCUUUGUUCGGCUGAGCUCAGCGAUGCCAAAGCAGGUGUGGCUCUUAUCAAAGGCCCCCUAUGUAGGCAGUGUGAAACUAGCAGCUCUAUCACUGAGCUACGAUCUCAUGCUGGAAGGUUCACUGCACGUUUUUCCUGUUGGGGGGGAGGUUCUGUGUAAUAAAAAACAGAUUACCUCUAGACAGCAAUCUCCAGCAGCUUCUUAAAGAAGAUAUACAAAAAGUGAUCUGUAGAUAUACUAAAAGUGACCUGCAAGGGAGGAAAAAAUAGGCUUGUGCCCUUCUAUAUCUUUAUAAUAAAUAUGCAGAAGAUUAAGACAAAGCCCCUCUGCCUUCUGAAGGAAUUAAAUGAACGCCUCACAUCUCAUUUCUCUCUAAAGAAAUGAUAAAAUUGUAAAUGUUAAAGUGCCAAGAAGGAAAGACAUUUAGCCAGGACUUGGUGCCUGUGGUUUUUGUUUUGGAUUGGUUUGUUUGUUUUAAAAAAAAAACCUCCACACCUUGUUUAUUUUAUAGACUGAGAGCUGGGAAGAGAGAUACAUCUGUUCUAAGGGCACUGAGAUUGCUGCUGCAGUUUUAACCUGAAACCUAUGCUCGGCCACUACCGUGAGUUGCCCUUAUCUCUCCCGCAGUUGCUGACUGCCUCCAAGAUUGCCUUCAUACCCUCCCUCCCCACCCGCGCUUCACAGGCUGGAAAAGCGAAAGGGGGAACUGCAUAUGCUCUGCCACAUCUCUCCCAGCAGGUGUCAGUGCCCUUCUGUACCUGCCACAAACAGAAGGCGGCUUUCCUUGGGGUGUUUUUCUUGAUGUCAGAGAGCCUGAAAGAAUGGACGUUUCCUUCUUUUGCCCUGGAAGGAUCAGCGUUAGGUUGGAAUUAGUUGCAGGAGGGGAUAUGCGUGAGGGCUAUACCCCUCGUCUCUGAAAGUUUCUAAAAGGUUGAAGUUAACUGUAAUGGGUAACUGUUUUGAUAAUACAAAUAUUUACAUCCAUCAAAAGUUCUUUGUUUUUCACUCUCCUCAUUUUCCUUGUUAUAAAUUCCUCCAGCGCUUGAGCGAUUACAGAUAUGUAAUAGCCAAGGUGGCCCAAAUGCCUCUUGUGACUUCUUCUGAAGCUGAGAGAAGCUUCACACAGCACCAGCCAUCAAAGAGGCCAUGUACCUGUCUGUGCUGAUCACUUUAACUACUGAAAGAUGCCAUGUUGUAGUAGUCAUACAGUCUGAAGGGGGAAGCAGCAAACUAAUUGCUUUCAGUAGUAGUUAGUCACAGUUAAUCCUGCUUGGGACAUGGGAAAGUCCUACUUGUUGAGGCGGCCUUUUUGCUUUUCUCCCACAAGACAGAAGGUGACAGAUUUGUAGCACUUCUUUCCAGCGCUCUUGCCUAUAGUGAAGACCUCUAUUUAUAGGCAGAAGAGGGAGUAGGGAAACAUGGUUCAUCACACAUGUAUCUUAAAGCAAAUCAGGACAUGUCCCUGGACCACCAUCACCACAAACACUGUGACUUCUGCACAGACCUUCCACACUGUGUAAGGUUUCCAAACAGCAAAGCACUAUGGAUAGGAGCAGGAGUAGUCUGAAAUGAAACAAGUAUCUAGCAGCAAUUUCAAGAGCACUGGACAAGCCAUGUUAUUAAGCAUGUGCUUCAGAAAACAAGGUACCACAUCCCCUCUGCACCUCUUUUCUAGGCCAGUGGCCAGAAACUCACAGUCAACUACGACUGCAGUCAUCAGAUGGUUCUUUUCCACAGUAUAUGCUGGCUGUAGAUCAGUCCAGUUUUUAUUCUGCUUUCACAACCUAACUCUGUUUUACUUCUAAGUUAUAAGCAAAAGAUAAACCAAUCAUAGCUUUCUUCUUACAACACCAUCCAAAGUUUCUGCUGCAUGGAAUUUAGGCUCUAAUUUCCAUCUAGGAGAUUUGAAAUAUUACAGAUUAUUCAUUGUUUAAAGUUAAUGUUCUUAAUCCGAUCCUUCUAAGUGCUUCUGAUUCUAAAUCAGCAUUAGUCAAGUUUCCUUGUUUUGAAAACUUUGCUAAUCUACAUGCUAAUUGUCAUUGCAUUUUGCAAGCCAUAUAUACACUUCUCACAGGUUUUCAAAUGUCUGUUACACUUCUCUAUCACUCUUUCUAGACCUUGAAGAUAUGCCAGAACACAAUGUUAAAUAAUGUAGCUUGUGAGGACUUCCCAAUUGCAUCCUGCCAUAUGUGAAAAGAUGUGCAUUUUGCAAUUACCCUACAAUGCUCGUCAGUAAAAGUUAACUAUUUCCAUGUUGUGGAACGAUCAGUGGGACUUUUGUUAGCACCCUUUGACUUCCUCAGUGAUUUACAAAUAGCCAUGAGAUGCUAAAGUUUUUCCUCCCAAGGGUUAAAUCAGAUAGGGAAUCAGAAAUCACCACUUCUGACAUAGAACUGCUCCCAUUUACAAGUUGUGUUUAAAACAAAAAGCACCCCACCUUUCUGAAAGGUACUCAGUGGGCAGUCUUAGCUCUUCUCAUUUUCCCUUCUUCCUGGUCUCUCACAAACUCAGUUAAAUCCUAGGCAGUGAAGCCAUAAGGAGCCUGCUGUUAUCUACAACCGUGAGAAGAGGAGCAACUUAUUGCUACCAUCUUGAUUUCACUGUUUAAAUGAUAAGAAAGCCAAAAAGCUGGCUGGAGGUCUGUCUUAAAAAUCACUUACGUCCUGAAGGGUUCAUGGACCAAAAAAAAACCAACCCAAACUUUCACAGUCUCUUAAAUCAUUUCUGUUUGCAUGUCUCUUCCGUUACUUCCCUCUGAACAUCCCACCACACAACCCUCCCACCAUUUCAUCCUUCUCGCGUCACCGUAAUUACAGCCCUGGCUCAUCUCCUUUGUGCUGCAUCUCGAGAUUCUUUCUUUGGUCUUGCCACCUACUCAUUUCUGAUUCUUCUCAGAUAACAGAAUGCUUGUCUCCUUCCCAGACCUCCCACCUCCUUCCCCCUCUUCCUUGCACCAGCCAUACGAGUAAGGAAGCCCAUGUUUUCCUGUCUUCAAGAGCUCUCUGCACUCACUGAAAGGCAUUCCCAAACUUAUAAUCUCCAUCCAGUAAAGACUACAACAGCUCUGCUGUGGGCCUGGUAAAAUAUUACGCUUGUGGGCAAAACGUUCCUUGGAUUAGGCUUGCAAAGGGCAAUAGUCUUAACCUUCAGAAGUUUACUUUGAAGUCUGGCUGAUUCAGGUUCCCUAAUUCAUUCUGUGCCUUUACUUCCAGCUAGAGCACAUCUGUAUGUCUCAGCGGAGAGCGUUCACUCGGGGCGCAAUGUUUGUGAGGCCGCUGACGCACAUAAAUAUGGAGCCAACAGCACCUUCCUUGUCAGUGGGAGAAGAUGCCUGCCAUUCUCACACUUCAUGGUGUACAUUGCGUGAGGACACAGACACAGAUAUCACAACAUCUUCCACACCAUUACAGAGCUCAGCGGAAGGGAGGAAGGGAUGUGGAGGUUAAAGGAAGAGAAAGAAAGCCCACAUACUCAGAACAUUCCUCAUCUUCUAUUUCUACUAAUGCUCUACUAUGGAAAAUGCAAACAAAGAGACUCCAGCAAGAGUAGUUCGGUGCAGGCAAAGCAGCCAUCCUUAGAUUGUAACACGUCCAAGAAACCAAACAUUUCCCAGUUUUUACCUGUCACACAAAACUUAAUGGUGUUCUAAUCUGAAUUAAUUUCUGUGCAUUAACUCAGGUACGCAAAAAAAAAAAAAAAAAAAAAGCCCAAAC